CAUACCUAAAACCACAAGGCUUCGCCGGGAAGCUCUUCGUCACUGCGAGUUUAACUAUAAGCCUCGGGAAGAGCUCUCAUCUUUCUUUCAUAUGUUUAUUAGAUCUCUCCUUUAGCAUCUUGGGGGAAACGUUGGGGUAACCAUGCCUGACGUGCAAGCUCUCGUCAAUGAUUUUCUUAACAAGCUUAAGAAGCGGAAGAUCGAGGGCUCUCAGGCCACCUCAAGGCAGACGGCGGAGUUGCUACGGUCGGUAAUUUCACAGCAGCGAGUACCUUAUAACAACCAGGCUGGAGCUUUGAUUGAUGCCGUGAAGGCUGUUGGAGAGCAGCUAAUUGCUGCAAAUCCUGUUGAGCUGGCUGUGGGUAAUAUAGUGAGGCGUGUUUUACACAUUAUUAGGGAGGAGGAUCUUUCUCUGACCACAGCUGCUAUGGCGGGGUUGAACUUAUCAGCUGUAAGUGAUGAUGAGGAUGAUGAGGAACGAGAUGAUCUCCCAGUUUUGUCAGCUGCUGUCGUUGCUGCUGCUGCAAGAAGUACUUUGCGUCCACCUUCCUUGCAGACUCUCCUGGAGGACAUGCCUGACUCAGCAGCUAUUCCUCAUACUUCUUCAUCAGGGGGUGAUUCUGAAGGAAAGAGCAAAUCUGCUGAUAAAAGUUCAAGAAGUCGGAAGUUGAAACAUGAUGUCAUUGAAGCAGUUAAUGAGCUUAUACAAGAUAUUACUACUUGUCAUGAACAGAUUGCUGAGCAAGCAGUGGAACAUAUUCAUCAAAAUGAGGUAAUAUUAACUUUAGGCAGUUCAAGAACAGUAUUGGAAUUUCUUUGUGCUGCUAAGGAGAAGAAAAGAUCAUUCAGAGUAUUUGUUGCUGAGGGUGCUCCAAGGUAUCAAGGGCAUCUUCUUGCCAAAGAAUUGGUUGCAAGAGGUUUACAGACCACUUUGAUUACUGAUUCUGCAGUUUUUGCCAUGAUUUCUCGAGUGAACAUGGUUAUAGUGGGAGCUCAUGCUGUCAUGGCUAAUGGUGGCGUUAUAGCACCUGUUGGGUUGAAUAUGGUUGCACUUGCAGCUCAAAAACAUGCUGUUCCAUUUGUUGUGCUUGCUGGUAGUCACAAGCUGUGCCCCUUAUAUCCACACAAUCCUGAGGUCUUACUAAAUGAAUUAAGAUCCCCUUCUGAGCUGCUGGAUUUUGGAGAAUUCUCUGAUUGCUUGGAUUUUAGGAGUGUCACUGGCUCUCCUCUUCUGCAUGUUGUAAAUCCAACAUUUGACUAUGUACCACCGAAGCUUGUUAGUCUGUUCAUCACUGACACCGGAGGGCAUAAUCCUUCAUACAUGUAUCGACUCAUUGCUGAUUAUUAUUC
rnacentral:misc_RNA from 1 species